GCGAAAGUGGCGGAAUUGGAAGACGCGCUGGACUUAGGAUCCAGUGGCUAAAGCCGUGGGGGUUCGAGUCCCCCCUUUCGCA
rnacentral:tRNA from 1 species